GAAACAUUGAUCAGUUGCCUCUCGUCACGCCCUGACCGGGGACCAAACCCACACUUAAACAUGUGUUCUGACUGGGAAUUGAACCUGUGACCUUUCCUUUGUACAAUGAGGCCCAACCAAGACACACCAGUCAGGAGGGUCCUCUACUCCAGAAGAGGAAAAGGAAGGAAGGAGGAUAUAGCCUUGGAUGUAGAAAGAAUUGGAAGAGCUAGCCUAGAAAAUGAACCUCAGUGACGAGGAGAAAAACUACUUCUACAGGCAAAGAAGACCUGUUGGGAAAACAGAAGGUCUGCAAGCAGGAGACACAGAAUUCCAUGGCAGGUGGAUUCUCCUUAGCUGUCAGUAACUUCUCUAAGUGCUGGUGACAGGGUGGUGAUUUCUAAUGACAGUCAUCCCAGGCAUCAGGAGGCCACGCAGGAACUGGGAGGAGAAUAGAAUUUGCGAGGCACCUCGUAAAACUCCACAUUAAGAAGACAUGAAAAAGCAGUUCACACAACUGCGAUGACAAUCAGCAAAGAAACACAGGCUGCUGAUCACCACAAGUAACCCAGAACGUUAAAACUGAAGCAACACUGAAAAUGACUUUAUGUUUAGUAAACAAGUCUCUUCCCACUGCUUCACACAGGCCGAGAAUUUUGGAUUUUGUUCACUGUUCUCCUGGACCCAAGAGAGUGGCCAAUCAUAGCAGAAACUCAAUAAAUACUUGUUAAAUGUAAAAGA